UACGAAGGGGGCUAGCGUUGCUCGGAAUGACUGGGCGUAAAGGGCGCGUAGGCGGCGCAGUUAGUCAGGCGUGAAAUCCCCGGGCUCAACCUGGGAAUUGCGAUGGAGACUGCAAGGCUGGAGUCUGGCAGAGGGGGGUAGAAUUCCACGUGUAGCAGUGAAAUGCGUAGAGAUGUGGAGGAACACCGAUGGCGAAGGCAGCCCCCUGGGUCAAGACUGACGCUCAUGCACGAAAGCGUGGGAGCAAACAGG
rnacentral:rRNA from 1 species